rnacentral:rRNA from 1 species
GGAGGGAAACCGAGUCUUAAUUGGGCGUUAAGUUGCAGGGUAUAGACCCGAAACCCGGUGAUCUAGCCAUGGGCAGGUUGAAGGUUGGGUAACACUAACUGGAGGACCGAACCGACUAAUGUUGAAAAAUUAGCGGAUGACCUGUGGCUGGGGGUGAAAGGCCAAUCAAACCGGGAGAUAGCUGGUUCUCCCCGAAAGCUAUUUAGGUAGCGCCUCGUGAAUUCAUCUCCGGGGGUAGAGCACUGUUUCGGCUAGGGGGCCAUCCCGGCUUACCAACCCGAUGCAAACUGCGAAUACCGGAGAAUGUUAUCACGGGAGACACACGGCGGGUGCUAACGUCCGUCGUGAAGAGGGAAACAACCCAGACCGCCAGCUAAGGUCCCAAAGUCAUGGUUAAGUGGGAAACGAUGUGGGAAGGCCCAGACAGCCAGGAUGUUGGCUUAGAAGCAGCCAUCAUUUAAAGAAAGCGUAAUAGCUCACUGGUCGAGUCGGCCUGCGCGGAAGAUGUAACGGGGCUAAACCAU